GGGAGACGGAGACACAGAAAAAGAGAGAGAGUGAGAGAGAGAGAGAGAGAGAGAGAGAGAGAGAGAGAGAGAGAGACGUGGCUCCUAAUCCUUCUUUAUUGAAAGCACACAAAGUCCAGGCUUGGCAUUUCUCAGCGAGGACAGCAGCUCUGGUGCCUUUGUGUGCUUCAGGCUGCCUCUACAUCCCUCU
rnacentral:lncRNA from 1 species